GUUAUCCUGAACUUUUAUUCUGACGGGGUAACGACGCUCCCCUUUUCCUUCCGGUGGGUAGCGUAUAUCAUUCCGGUGGUAACUAGCUAGCAAAGAGGCUAUGUUUUUGAUGCUGCAGAGUGUAGCGUGGGGUACACCGCUCUCUCUCUGGUUGAGCCAUCGUACAGGAAAGCCCUGUCCAUCGGCGGCUGGCGUGGCGUCGGCUGCUGUUCUGGGAUGGUGUGCUGAGCUGGGCAAACUCAAGUGUUACUCUAUCACAGUGUCGCUGGUGAUGUUCUUCCACUUUGUGUCCUGUGUGGUUGACUACUUGCAUGCCGCUUCGAGAGAACCAGAGGUAAUGCCGGCAUUUUCUGUAAGAGUUUCGACGCUUAGCACUUGACUUGUGUAGGGAGUUGUGUGGGGUGGGAGUGGGGGUGCUCCGCAGGUGUGAUGGCGGGACUGGCAGCGUGGUGCCUUUGAUAUCGCGCUGUGGUGUCGUGGUUGCACCUGUGGGAGCGCCCACAUUUCCACAAUACACAACUCCUGUUGAAUCGAGUUAUAAAUGCCGUGCCUAAUGGUAACUUUCUCGUUAAAUGUACAUAGGAGGAGAUGGUGCCUUCGACUACACUGAUGCAGUGUCACUAGAGAAGGGGGGCAUCACUGUUCUUUUCCCAACCUUUUGUUUUGUUUUGUCCUAUUGUGUGAGUGAUUAAUCCUGUGCAACCUUUUCAUUUUGACGUCCAAGACGAAGGGGCUUGUGUAAGUUUCACUCUAACAUCCGAGACGAAGGGGCUCGUGUAAGUUUCUACUUAGUAACCGCCAAGACGGAGCUUGUGUAUAUGAUUAGGGUAUGAACACUUAAGUAUUACUGGGAGACGUAUCUUAAAUCUCAGACUCCUUUUGGAACCUAUACUUGCUGUAGGGGGAGACCAAAGACGUGUGUCUAACAGGCUUGUGUGUGUGUGUGGUGACCAUUACAAAUCUUGCCCUUUUGGCAGUUUUUCUUUUUUACAAUUUGAUUUACUAACUUGUUUGCCGUGAUUUUUGUUAUUUGGUCUACCUCUCGUGCAACUAGCACAUUUGCACAAUUUUGUAGCCUAUAUUGAGAUGACGUGCCUAAGGAUACUGUUAAAGUUCAUAUUCUGAUUUGAUGUUUGACUGAGCCCGUGAGGCAUAUUUCCAGAUACAGAGACUCAUUACGAAAAGAAAGAAAAUAAAAAGAACUCUGAAUUGUAUGACAGUUGUAUCUCUUGUUAUUCAGUAACCUGUUGCGGGGAAAGUCAAAUCAAGUGUUUGAUGGUUGGGUUCUCUCACCCUAACAAAUGAGAGUGGCGUAGUCACUAAACAUCUUAAAAACAUCUAAAAAUAUAAAAAAUAUUACGGUAAAGAGAUAACGCAGGCCACAUUUGGCAGUAGUCGGCAAAGGAUAACUAAGUGGAUACAGCUGUCUACAAUUGUUAGUGGUGGGUUUUGUAUGCAUUUGGUUUUGUUUUGUUGGGAAAAGAACAGUGAUUACCCCCAGCCAGCGGAGGGCCCCACCGACGAGAUCACCGGCAGGGGUGCUGGCAUAGCCGACGGCCAAGCUGCGAGAGAAGCAUGGAAGGACUGUCUGAGUUGAAGCAGAUGGCAGCGCAUCAGCAAGGGCAGCUGCAUGUGCUGUCAAGGUGGCUGGGCAUUUCCCAGCAACCUCAACCUCAACCGGAGUCGCAGGAGGCUAGCUUCACGUGGGAGAGCCAGCAUCUGGGGCACCUGGUGAGAGACCGUGAUGGGCAACGGGUCUCUGUGGGUGCGCAGCGGCAGCCCUCGCCGACAGCCCACUCAGGGGGCAAUGGGCAGGCCUCCAAACGCAGACUGUCAUUUAGUGGACCGGAGAGUAACCGUCCAAGAAGAACGUCCAUGUCGCAUGAGGCUGGCUUCACGUGGGGGAGCCAGCAUCUGGGGCACCCAGUGAGAGACCGUG